AUUGAACGCUGGCGGCAGGCCUAACACAUGCAAGUCGAACGGUAGCACAGAGAGCUUACUCUCGGGUGACGAGUGGCGGACGGGUGAGUAAUGUCUGGGAAACUGCCCGAUGGAGGGGGAUAACUACUGGAAACGGUAGCUAAUACCGCAUAACGUCGCAAGACCAAAGUGGGGGACCUUCGGGCCUCACACCAUCGGAUGUGCCCAGAUGGGAUUAGCUAGUAGGUGGGGUAAUGGCUCACCUAGGCGACGAUCCCUAGCUGGUCUGAGAGGAUGACCGGCCAGACUGGAACUGAGACACGGUCCAGACUCCUACGGGAGGCAGCAGUGGGGAAUAUUGCACAAUGGGCGCAAGCCUGAUGCAGCCAUGCCGCGUGUAUGAAGAAGGCCUUCGGGUUGUAAAGUACUUUCAGCGGGGAGGAAGGCGGUGAAGUUAAUAACUUCACCGAUUGACGUUACCCGCAGAAGAAGCACCGGCUAACUCCGUGCCAGCCGCCGCAGUAA
rnacentral:rRNA from 1 species